ensembl:misc_RNA Metazoa_SRP Metazoan signal recognition particle RNA
GCCAGGCAAAGUGGUGUGCCUGUAGUCCCAGCUACUCAGGAGGCUGAGGUGAGAGGAUCACUUGAGCCUAGGAGUUCUGGGCUAUAGUGCACUGUGCUGAGGAGAUGUCCACACUGAGUUCAGCAUCGAUAAAGGUGACCUCCUCGGAGCAGGGGACCAACAGCUUACCUAACGAGGGGUGAACCAGCCCAGGUUGGAAACAAAGCAGGUCAAAACUCCCAUGCUGAUCAGUAGUGGGAUUGUGCCUAUGAAUAGCCACUGCACUCCAGCCAGGGCAACAUAGCGAGACUCCAUCUCUA